CGGGUGAGUAACACGUGGGUAACCUACCCAGAGGUGGGGGAUAACCCUUCGAAAGGAGGGCUAAUACCGCAUAACAUCCCGAGGUCCUCGGGCUUCGUGAUCAAAGCUAGCCUCUACUUGUAAGCUAGCGCCACUGGAGGGGCCCGCGCCCCAUUAGCUUGUUGGUGAGGUAAAGGCUCACCAAGGCCACGAUGGGUAGCCGGCCUGAGAGGGCGAUCGGCCACACUGGAACUGAGACACGGUCCAG
rnacentral:rRNA from 1 species